UUGGGUUUGGGGCGGAGGGAUAUUCUGCACAGCGCGUAGGAAGAGCUGCUGCGUUGAUAUUAUUAGUGGGGAGGGGAGUGCCGGACCCCGGCUGGCGCUGUUGGCGCGGUGGCUGCUUCUGAGGGCGAGGACUCGUGGCAGCUGCAAAGCAACUGAACGAGGAUAUUUUACUUUUACUGAGAAUUGGACACAGCAACAUACCUUAGAAUUUCAAGAUGGACUUGACAAAGCAAAUGAUAAGAAAUCUCUCAUUGAACUGAAGUUGUAUGUGUAUGCAUGAUGAUCUGUGAAUGUAAUAUAUAAAUAAAUAAUUAUGGGAUAAUAUUGUAAAGAUGAUUGUUGAUGCAUAAUUAUUAAUCAAAUUCCAUUCUGGCUUGGUGCACAUUUUUCACAGAAUAAAAUCUUUGAACUUUGUA